ensembl:lncRNA
AACACAACGUUGUUUGGUUUCUUUUCUUUCCCUCCAAUUCCCAAGUUUCAGUCUUAAUCUCGCUGGACGAACUCAAGACUCGCGCUCCACUACGUCCCGCUUCCUUUUCCCUUUUGAUUUCAUUCCUGUUGACUCCAGAGGACCGGAGAGACAGCUGCUCUCUGACCCCCCGCCGCCUCUGUUCCCAACGAGAAGUUCGGACCCCACGGCCGAAAUCGCCUUCAUCCACUGAGUUUCCCUACGCGGAGCUCAACUGUCCUCAGUCAGCUGGAAGCUGAUGACCAACGGCCAUCAAACAGUAACACUGGUUUUCUGGGCAGACUAAUUUAGCGUGUUGAUAUGAACUUGAUGUUUAUUUGAUUUGUUCAGUCAUAACGUGGUACGAUAGAGUCCGGAUCAACGAAUCCGCUACCUUUGAUUGAUGUUUGAAUGUGUACCUGCAAAUGUCGUAAUGUCCCCUGUUGAUCUGAUGCUGUGAUACGUUUGCUGUAAGAGAGUGAAAGCGCCAACUGUGUUACGCUGUUGAAUGAUUUUAUGGUCAGAAUAGUUCCUUAUUUUCUUUUCUUUUCCCGGGUCUCCGCCGUGAGAUCCGUUUGCCUGUGGUUUCAUUUCGUAUCGCCAGCCUCAUCGUUGGUUCUGUAAUUGCACAACUGUUGUUGCGCGCAACCGUUCCUUCCCAGCACCCCCCUCUGUGCUCACACACAUACACACACACACACACACACACACACACACACACACACACACUCUGGUUUUGAUUGCUUGUUUAGUGAGUAGGUUUAAAAUAAGUGUCAUGGGGAUUGUUGGUUGCAGUUAUAGGUGAUCUUGAUCGGUGUUCCUGUGAGUUAAUAAACCCUGUUAUACUUUAAAGAACCGUUUUCCUGUGUUUACUUGUGCAUGUAUAUGGUGGUGACCGUUGACAUACAUCGCCAGUGCUCGAACUUAACUCCUUCCAACAUCUUCACUCUCAAGGAGUGAAUAUCAAUUAUGAGACUUGAUUUAUAGUAUUGGUUAUUGGUCCCU